AAAACUCGCUUAUUUUAAUUCUAAAUCACUUUUCCAUGUGCCAGAUAGAUUUGACAUCGGCAGUUGAAUGAGAAAUGUGCUUCUGAUGGACCUCGAAUAGCUUCGGUCCAUGAACAGUGUGUUUGCGUCUCCAUCACGAGGCAUCAAGUCAAAAAUGUGUUCUUUGCAUAGCAACUGCCAAAAAUUGAAAGACAAAGCGAAUGGAAAGAGUACAAAACAUCUGCUUUGAUCCUGUCUCUUUCGCAAGUGAAGAAUGGCGUCAGUAGUUUCUUUAACAGCAAGGUUCCUGCCUUCCUGAGGGUGCUGGAGGAGGCGAGAGUUUCCAGGCCUCUGACGCUAACGGGAAGAAGAUUGCUGCCCAAAUAACUUCACUUUAUUGUUGUUGUCUCAGUUCUUUUGAAAGAGCGGGUCGUGGAAAGGCUGUCCCCAGUCAACGGUGUAUGGGAAGGGGGAAGUUAAACAAGAAACAUUCCGGACUUGUUAAAAUAAUAUACUUUACACUACUUAGAAGAACAAGAAGUAAAUGCAUCAAUGCAGAUAUCUAUGAAACGAAUGGCUCGCUGUUGUAUAGAAAUGAAUUUACAUAUUUAAUUUUACUUAUUGAAUUUACAUCUUUAAUUUUGUUUAUCAGACAUUUUAUAUGAGAAAAUGUAACUUACUUUUUUUUCAUUACUUAGCUUAUGUUCACUGUCGUUGGUUGGCCUUUGAAAUUGUGACCCAAGUUCUCCGUGUUGCUAAUGCUAAAUCAGUCAUCCUUUAUGCAAAGGCUUAUUUAUAAUUGACCGGGGGUCUAGGCUUGAAUGAUAAAAAAAACUUUGGAAAUAGGGCAACCGCAUAUGUGUGGCCCGAAGACUGACAUAGAAAUAAAGAUGUUGAGAAAAAAAGGAAAAAAAAAAAGGAAAAAGACUGUGGUUUCCAUUCUAAUACUUGUGAAACACUCAAACUACAACCCAUGCGUGAAUGCUGAUAGUAUUCUGUUCAGGGGCCGGUAAGUUGAUUAUACAAUAAGAAGUAAUUAUAUUUAGAAUAAAAAAGU